rnacentral:lncRNA from 1 species
CUGCUCAAAAACAAUAUGGAAGUUGAGCAGUUUCUGGUGUGAAAAUGGUUGCUGUAAUGGAGUCUGCAGUUGCUGGACAGCAGAGUUAUAGCUGCUCAAAAGCUCCCUUUAUGUUUCCACUUCAGCCCCCUUUCCACUCCCUAAGAUGCUACCUCCAUAGGUAUAGGUUUCUACUACUGGAUGCUUCACAACAGUUACCAUAGCACCUCAAGAAUUCACUUAAACACACCAAACAGAAUUAGUAAACUGCACCAGAUUUUUAUGCUAAAUUCAAGAGUGUUUGACAAGUUGGAGGCCAAAAAUAAAGAACUCAAAGGAAAACAGGGAUGGAAUAACAGAAAGCACUCAAAAGGAACCUAUCAAAGGCACUAGAAUAGAUUAAAAAAACA